AUGAUAUCAACGCGUGUUUUGAGUGGUUUUCGACGCGCAUGUUGGUGGUUGUUGUUGUAUGUGGGUGUAGUGGGUGUUUCUCGAUGAUUGUUGUGAAUGGCAAGAGUCUUUUUAUUUCUCAGUUCGUAUUUCCGAGCCGUAUGUUAAUUUUUACCAGCUAAAAUUCAAAGCCCUCCAGGAUGGACUCUCAGAAGUUCUGCCUCAAAUGGGACUGGUUCCAGGACAGCGUCACGUCUGUGUUUGACCAGCUCUGCUCUGGAGGGGAGCUGCUGGGCGUCACGCUCUGCUGUGAGGGACAGCAUGUCCGGGCCCACAGGAUGAUGCUGUCUGCCUGCAGUCUGUACUUCAGGGAACUGCUCAAGGCUCGGCGGCUAAUGCUCCGGGCUCCUUACCGAUGACGGAGGAGGGUCCUUCUCUCCGCCUCUGAGGGAGCUCACUGAACUACCCUCUCGCCCCGCGCCAUCUGCGCCGUCCUCACCGCCGGCCGAUCCGACCAACGAGAAUGACACUGACGCCCUCCGGCACUGCUGGCAGAGGAAACUGAAGGAGAGCGUCGCUGCCAGACUACCCGAGGGCGCCUAUCUGCACCAGCCGCCGUCCCGGUACAUUUUCCCCGGAGUGGAGGUGCUGGUCGAUCCUGACGACUCGGACAGUGACAGAGAUUCGCUGGGCUCGGAGCACGGCAGCGACGAUGAGUCUGGGACCGCUGGAGACCAUCUAAACCACUCCUGGGAUACUCCAGAGACGGACGUCACGCCUCCACACGCCGACUCAUGUCCUCCAACUCCUCCCGGACGGGUUACUCCCUCUGCGGCAUCAUCAGGAGCGGCGUCUUCAACAUCGGCUGCUGCAGUGGAGACUUCAGCCAGACCGGCGGUGAACCCUUUGUCGGAGGAUGCCGAGUCGGAGCCCGCCACGGUGGGUUGUUGGGGGCUGAGCCCUGAAAAGGCAGACCAGUGACACACUAGGAAAGGACGAGGGGGAUGUGAAGAGACGUCUGGCGCUCGGCGGUGGUGGCGAGCCUGAUGCUUCUCCCAUCACCGCGCCGCCAACGCCGGAGGCAGUGGCGGCGCGGGAAGUGCGCCGGAAAAUGCCACCGGCGCGGCUGACGAGAUCAGCUAAUCUACCACUUAGGUCCGGGGAUCGGGUAAAACACACACCGAAGUCGGGGUCAGUUCAGUGAGAGUUUUCAUGCGCACACCAACACAGAUUGGUGACCAUAAAGAUCUAUUUUCAUACAGUGUCUGCACACAAUAACUAAUGUUGUGCCUGGGUGAUUGAUGCGGUUAGACUGAGUUUGGGGCUAGGAAGUGGAAAUCAUGAAUCAGACUGAUUCGGUUUGAAAGCCAUCAUGUGAACUAUUUUGGAGCUAUGAGCCAAUGGUGAGCUAAUUUACGGCUGAAAGCUUUGUGGAGCUAUGAGCCAGUGGUUAGAUUUAUUUAGUUAUGAGCCAGUGGUGAGCUAAUUCGGAGCUGGGAACAACACCAGAAGGGGAGAGCCCGCUUUACUUGCUGGAUCAACAUGUUUUGCUAAUCUUCGUCCGCGUCGUCUAAAACUGUCACCUCACAUUUGGCAGGAUUUAAAAUGAGGCCGACAUCUGGGAGCAUCUUGGGGACUGUUAGAAGGUCAGAUAUUGUUGUGUCGGUGCGUCGCCGAGCUCCAGCUUAACCUGCUAAAAGAGGUUUUGUAUGACUGACCUUUCCUGAAAAUGUUAGCUAAGGCUUUAUGAUAUACUCAUAAUUUCAAAAUAUGAAAACAGUAAAAGGCAGAUUAAAUGUUGAUCACAAAUCCUCAAAUUUCAGCCUUUUAAUUGAAACACCCAUCAUUUUUACAAAAUUACCAUUUUAAAUUACAUACUUGAAAUGUGAAAUAAGAAAUAUUACACAUUGCUUACUUGAAGGCCAGCAGGCGCGCCCCCAGUUUGGUCUCCGGCUCUGGGGCCACAAAGUUGGCCGUCAUGCCCAAGAAGGCGACAAGUGUCCGGCUGCUCCAGAGGUCCAUGGUGAGGCACACAGUGCUGUCUUUUGGCAGGAGCAGAAGACUUUUCUUGAGCGCAGCUUUCUUGCCCUCUGCUAGGGACGGCAGCGCACGAAGCGUCUCCCAGGGACUGGGUACCUAUGAGCAUAUGACAUACCUAACAGCAAGGAGUCAUCAUAAACUUUGUAACUAUAUAGUUACACUUUCUCUACAGCUAUAACCAUGGAUCACAAUUUGUAGGCAACCUUUUGUACAGCCUGUACAAAAUAGAGAAGUAUUAGUGAAAAGUCAUUAUAUAGAUUUUAGAGUGUGAAUCUCUGGUUGCACAAGGAAUCUGAUUAGCUGAAGGAAAGGAGCUGUGAUGUAAUGAUGAAAAUUAAUGAAAAAUGUUGAUUUGUGACUAAAAUAGGCAAUAUCUUGAGUCUGUUC